UGCUUCUUCUGGGAGAAGGGUCAGAGCAAAGCUAGGUUCCAUCCUAUCUCUCAAGUAAAGAGCUUUUUGUAUUUAGCGAAAUGUACAGGAAAAGCAAUAUAUCCCCCCAACCCCCCAACAAGCACUCUUUCCAAAAUAGUCUGUCACCACUGAAAGCUGCUGUUUUCCCAGCUUUCUGUGGCAAAUUGGGUUUGGUGAGAUUUUUGUUGUUAAGACAUUUUAUAGCUUAAAUAUUAAAGGUCUCCAGUGAAGGCCUUUGCAAUAUAUUUCAAUGACACACUUGAUUUGGGAAACUGCACAAAUCAACCUCAUAGGGUUCCUAGCUCAGUUUUGAAUGUCUGCACAUUCUAAAAUGAUUUCUGGUGACAGUUAUCCUUCCUAGUAUCAGCUUCUAAUCAGGAUAAUUGUAUUCUGACAAAGCAAGAGCUAUGAACAUUACAAGGAGAACCAUUUGUGUCGGGUAGCUUUGAAAAAGACUUUUAAUAACUGUUCAGGCAAAAGUAGCAUGAUUUACAGGUCAAGUCCCAGCUUCAGAGAUCUGUGCUCUACAUUUUCUGCCAGGUAUAAAAACUUCAUCAGGCAAUUUCCCUCCUCCAAGGGCUGUAGUUCUAUUGAUAAAUAGCUUCAGCUACACAGGUUGGUACCCACCAGCCAGCAGGAUUUUUUGGUUAUUGCUUUUUGUUGUUAUUUUUUUAUAUAUAUACCAACUGGAACAUUUUUAAAUCUGUACUGUAUGCACUUCCUACUUCUCAUUGCCUGUAAUCAUCCAGAAUAAAACCAGGUUUCCUGAUGCACGCCAGCAUUAGUAACUGGCCAGGGCAAAGAACCCUGACAGUGGCAAACAAGCAGGAUCCCCCAGGCGCUGGCCCUAGAGCCUAAUUGAUAGGUCGUAAGGAAGUCGCUCAAGUCAAGUACACGGUUGGCUUAGUUCUGUCUGCUCUCGUAGGAGCCAGUCCUUUCUCCACUGAGAAAGCAUCUUGCCAGUUUUACAGGGAGAAUUCACUGAUCUGACAAGCCAGGGAAGCUUCCUGACUGACAUCUUAAUUUAAAUUUAGCACAGAACUAAGAGAGUCGUACCUCUCUAGCAGCAUAAGGAAGAUGUGGGGAAGUGAGCUCUUCCCCCCUCGCUCCCUGAAAAUGGAAAGCAUACUGAGAUGGUAAGGUAACGGAUGAAACCUGCCACCAUUACAACGUUUCCCUCUUCUUGACAUAGCGAUAUUUUUAGAAGAGUUGCAAGCACAAAUGAACACAUCCCUGAUCUGGCCCAAGAACUGAGACUUAUUUGGCACUCGUCUGGAGGACGUAACCAAUCCUCCGCAGUAAGUUUCCGAGGUGUGUUCCCCUUAUAACAGAAAGUGGUUUGAGACUAAAGGAAAUGGGAUAUCCUUAGUCACAGAAAAGCCACCACCCAUUUCAUCGUCCAGUCUAGCUUCUUGAAAAGCACAGUGUAUGAUAAGCUAUCAAAAAGAAAAAGAGAGAGAGAGAGAACCCUAAAGCACCUCUCAGUGGUUUCCUAAGCAUGCUUUGGUUUCAGGUUUGAAGUGGUUCAUCUUGCAGCUAGGAAGGGUGUGUGUGUUUGGGAACACCUCGCACACACACAGUGGGGAGAACCAAUUGUCUCCUUGAAAUGUAAAAGCUGAUGACAAGGGAGGUGGGCUAUUAGGGGUUUUCAGAGAGUCCCUUAUAAGGUUACAUAAAUAAAACGAGCACUUUUAAAUAUCACUUUAAAGAUUAAAAGGGAAACAAGAUUAGUGAAGGGGGGGGGCUUUCAAAAUGCUUCUGUGUUUACAGACAAGGGUUGUAGGUGAUUAGAAAGGCCAUGUUCAUCAUGGUUGAAAUUUGGAACAGCUCAUGUGAAGACUGUGUACGCUUUCAUGCAACUUGUUUAAUGUCAGACUGCCAUUCGAGUCUGGACUGGAAAUGGAACUCUGCACUUUGAGAUCAGCUCAUUAGAAUGAUAACGUGUAUAUGGAUAAAGAUGCAGUAUUCCUUAGUCUGUGCUUUGUUUAUUAUCUGUACCAAAGCUGCAAUUGAAUAGAUCCGGUGAGGGGAGGCCUUCAGUUGUAAUCACAUGCCGUUGUUUUGUUGUAGUGACUGCCUAGAAACGUUGCUGAGAUAUUGUUAGGAGGCUGUCCAGUUCCUUGUAUUGUGAGGAUUCUUAGAAUUGAAGCAGUGUUAAUACCAGCACACACACAGUCUGCAUAGAAAGGAUCGAAUGUGAGUUAAUGCUGGCGAACCACAUAGGCCCAGGAAGCCUUAAUACUCAUAGCUCAAAUCAGAGUUUAUUCUUUACCAUUGCCUGUAAGUGUAUCACGUAAAUGUAGGCCACCGGCCAGCUCUCUCUCUCUCCCUUUCCUGAGGUUGUAUAUCCCACAAAAAUGUUUUCAGAUUGACUUGGCUCAGCUAAGGAAAGAGGGUUGGCUGGCCAUGUCUUCCAUAUUCCACGUCUACUUGUUCCCACACUGCCUUUCACUUAUCUGGACAGUCACCCGCAACACAUGCACCUGUGUGCACACAUCUGUAUAUGCAGCAGCCAGCAGGCAAGCAAAUAUCAACAAAGACCUUUUUUUAAAGAAAUAAUUUGUAAUAAUCCAUCCUAUGUAGAAAUGUAAGUUAUUACCCAACUAGAGAAUCAGCUUAUAAUACUAUGUAACUUUGCCUGCGUUUUAUAGUUAAGAAAUGUAUAUAAAAAAUCUAAAAUGCUAUAUUUUCACAAUUUCAUUAUAGAGUAAUGUGUGUUUAGCAACCCAUGCCCAUUGGUAUUUUAAAUAUGCUAAAUAUUGAACAAUUGCAAUAGAAAUUCAGAUUUUCAUAAGAAAAUAAAACAGAAGGAUACUGCAUCUUUAAAAAACAGAGUGACGCUAUUUUACUGUAUUCGUAACAUAUGUGAUAGUGGAAAAGUAUUUUCAAACAUGCAAAUUUUACAGAGGUUGUAAAUAGUUUGAUGACGUAUGUUGGGGAAAAGCUUCUAGUUUUCAUC
rnacentral:lncRNA from 1 species